GACGAACGCUGGCGGCGUGCUUAACACAUGCAAGUCGAACGGAAAGGCCCUGCUUUUGUGGGGUGCUCGAGUGGCGAACGGGUGAGUAACACGUGAGUAACCUGCCCUUGACUUUGGGAUAACUUCAGGAAACUGGGGCUAAUACCGGAUAGGAGCUCCUGCUGCAUGGUGGGGGUUGGAAAGUUUCGGCGGUUGGGGAUGGACUCGCGGCUUAUCAGCUUGUUGGUGGGGUAGUGGCUUACCAAGGCUUUGACGGGUAGCCGGCCUGAGAGGGUGAACGGCCACAUUGGGACUGAGAUACGGCCCAGACUCCUACGGGAGGCAGCGGUGGGGAAUAUUGCACAAUGGGCGGAAGCCUGAUGCAGCAACGCCGCGUGCGGGAUGACGGCCUUCGGGUUGUAAACCGCUUUCGCCUGUGACGAAGCGUGAGUGACGGUAAUGGGUAAAGAAGCACCGGCUAACUACGUG
rnacentral:rRNA from 1 species